rnacentral:rRNA from 1 species
CUUAGUGGCGAACGGGUGAGUAACGCGUGAGUAACCUGCCCUGGAGUGGGGGACAACAGUUGGAAACGACUGCUAAUACCGCAUAAGCCCACGGGUCGGCAUCGACCUGAGGGAAAAGGAGCAAUCCGCUUUGAGAUGGCCUCGCGUCCGAUUAGCUAGUUGGUGUGGUAAUGGCCCACCAAGGCGACGAUCGGUAGCCGGACUGAGAGGUUGAACGGCCACAUUGGGACUGAGACACGGCCCAGACUCCUACGGGAGGCAGCAUG